rnacentral:rRNA from 1 species
UACGAAGGGGGCUAGCGUUGUUCGGAAUUACUGGGCGUAAAGCGCACGUAGGCGGACUAUUAAGUCAGGGGUGAAAUCCCGGGGCUCAACCCCGGAACUGCCUUUGAUACUGGUAGUCUCGAGUCCGGAAGAGGUGAGUGGAAUUCCGAGUGUAGAGGUGAAAUUCGUAGAUAUUCGGAGGAACACCAGUGGCGAAGGCGGCUCACUGGACCGGUUCUGACGCUGAGGCGCGAAAGCGUGGGGAGCAAACGGG